GAUGAACGCUGGCGGCGUGCCUAACACAUGCAAGUCGAGCGAACAGACGAGUAGCUUGCUCCUCUGACGUUAGCGGCGGACGUAUGAGUUACAUGUGGAUCACCUACCUAUAAGACAGGGAUAACUUCGUGAAACCGGUGCUAAUAACGGAUAAUUUCUUCAACGGCGUGGUUCAAAAGUGCCAGCGGUUUUUGCUGUCCCCUCUACAUGGAUCCGCGCCGCAUUGGUUAGUUGGUACGGUAGCGGCUUACCGUGGCCACGCUGCGUAGCCGACCGGAGAGGGUGAUCGGCCACACUGGAACUGAGACACGGUCCAGACUCCUACGGGAGGCAGCAGUAGGGAAGCUUCCGCAAGGGGCGAAAGCCUGACGGAGCGGCGCCGCGUUAGUGAUGAAGGUCUUCGGAUCGUAAAACUCUGUUAUUAGUGAAGAACGAAUGUGUAAGGAACGAUGCACGUCUUGACGGUACCUGAUCAGAAAGCAACGGCUAACUACGUG
rnacentral:rRNA from 1 species